rnacentral:snRNA from 1 species
AUCCCAGUGCACGGGCGUUUUCCUUCUCCCUGAAGCGAUAAGCUGAGAGAGGAAUUUUGCUAGUUGAAAACUACAACAGGACCACUCCUCAUUGGGUUCGCCCGGUAAGGGAAUUUUUGGACAAUCACAUGUU